GACGAACGCUGGCGGCGUGCUUUACACAUGCCAGUCGAACGGAAAGGCCCUGCUUUUGUGGGGUGCUCGAGUGGCGGACGGGUGAGUAACACGUGAGUAACCUGCCCUUGACUUUGGGAUAACUUCAGGAAACUGGGGCUAAUACCGGAUAGGAGCUCCUGCUGCAUGGUGGGGGUUGGAAAGUUUCGGCGGUUGGGGAUGGACUCGCGGCUUAUCAGCUUGUUGGUGGGGUAGUGGCUUACCAAGGCUUUGACGGGUAGCCGGCCUGAGAGGGUGACCGGCCACAUUGGGACUGAGAUACGGCCCAGACUCCUACGGGAGGCAGCAGUGGGGAAUAUUGCACAAUGGGCGGAAGCCUGAUGCAGCAACGCCGCGUGCGGGAUGACGGCCUUCGGGUUGUAAACCGCUUUCGCCUGUGACGAAGCGUGAGUGACGGUAAUGGGUAAAGAAGCACCGGCUAACUACGUG
rnacentral:rRNA from 1 species